UGUGUAGGCGGCUUUUUAAGUUUGGUGUGAAAUCUCCCGGCUUAACUGGGAGGGUGCGCCGAAUACUGAAAGGCUAGAGUGCGGGAGAGGAAAGUGGAAUUCCUGGUGUAGCGGUGAAAUGCGUAGAUAUCAGGAGGAACACCGGUGGUGUAGACGGCUUUCUGGACCGUAACUGACGCUGAGACACGAAAGCGUGGGUAGCAAACA
rnacentral:rRNA from 1 species